rnacentral:rRNA from 1 species
UGGCUAUACUGCAGUCGACGCUUUGUGGUUCAACUGAUUUGAAGAGCUUGCUCAGAUAUGACGAUGGACAUUGCAAAGAGUGGCGAACGGGUGAGUAACACGUGGGAAACCUACCUCUUAGCAGGGGAUAACAUUUGGAAACAGAUGCUAAUACCGUAUAACAAUGACAACCGCAUGGUUGUUAUUUAAAAGAUGGUUCUGCUAUCACUAAGAGAUGGUCCCGCGGUGCAUUAGCUAGUUGGUAAGGUAAUGGCUUACCAAGGCGAUGAUGCAUAGCCGAGUUGAGAGACUGAUCGGCCACAAUGGGACUGAGACACGGCCCAUACUCCUACGGGAGGCAGCAGUAGGGAAUCUUCCACAAUGGGCGAAAGCCUGAUGGAGCAACGCCGCGUGUGUGAUGAAGGGUUUCGGCUCGUAAAACACUGUUGUAAGAGAAGAAUGACAUUGAGAGUAACUGUUCAAUGUGUGACGGUAUCUUACCAGAAAGGAACGGCUAAAUACGUGCCAGCAGCCGCGGUAAUACGUAUGUUCCAAGCGUUAUCCGGAUUUAUUGGGCGUAAAGCGAGCGCAGACGGUUAUUUAAGUCUGAAGUGAAAGCCCUCAGCUCAACUGAGGAAUUGCUUUGGAAACUGGAUGACUUGAGUGCAGUAGAGGAAAGUGGAACUCCAUGUGUAGCGGUGAAAUGCGUAGAUAUAUGGAAGAACACCAGUGGCGAAGGCGGCUUUCUGGACUGUAACUGACGUUGAGGCUCGAAAGUGUGGGUAGCAAACAGGAUUAGAUACCCUGGUAGUCCACACCGUAAACGAUGAGUGCUAGGUGUUUGAGGGUUUCCGCCCUUAAGUGCCGCAGCUAACGCAUUAAGCACUCCGCCUGGGGAGUACGACCGCAAGGUUGAAACUCAAAGGAAUUGACGGGGACCCGCACAAGCGGUGGAGCAUGUGGUUUAAUUCGAAGCAACGCGAAGAACCUUACCAGGUCUUGACAUCCCUUGACAACUCCAGAGAUGGAGCGUUCCCUUCGGGGACAAGGUGACAGGUGGUGCAUGGUUGUCGUCAGCUCGUGUCGUGAGAUGUUGGGUUAAGUCCCGCAACGAGCGCAACCCUUAUUACUAGUUGCCAGCAUUCAGUUGGGCACUCUAGUGAGACUGCCGGUGACAAACCGGAGGAAGGUGGGGAUGACGUCAAAUCAUCAUGCCCCUUAUGACCUGGGCUACACACGUGCUACAAUGGCGUAUACAACGAGUUGCCAACCCGCGAGGGUGAGCUAAUCUCUUAAAGUACGUCUCAGUUCGGAUUGUAGGCUGCAACUCGCCUACAUGAAGUCGGAAUCGCUAGUAAUCGCGGAUCAGCACGCCGCGGUGAAUACGUUCCCGGGUCUUGUACACACCGCCCGUCACACCAUGAGAGUUUGUAACACCCAAAGCCGGUGGGGGUAACCUUCGGGAGCCAGCCGUCUAAGUGACAUUGA